rnacentral:lncRNA from 1 species
UUAAUUGUUUAAUUUGUUUUGGAUUUGGUAGGCUGCUACAGCUUUGGUUUCUUCCACAACAAAUAAUAGUUCUAAGAGACCAUCUGAGCCGUCCAUGGAGUUGGCCAACGCUCGAAAUAAUGCUCCUUCAUCCGGGCCUGAAACGGCUAAAGCAAUCAAGGUAGCUAGAGGAUUAGGACUUGAACAUAGUGACAAAUUGUUUUAAUAUAUGAUCAAGAAUAAGAGUUGGUACCUGCUAGCUAGCUUUACUUGCAACUGAGAUUCUUUGUUUUAAAAAUUGUUAUUAUUCCUUUUUUUAAUAAUUAUUUUAAUUUUCUUGUCAUUGCAGCGUGAAGGAAACCGCAAAGGUCCAACAUCAAGUAAUUCAGAACAUGAAGGACCAAAAACACCAGACCCUAAGGUGAUAUCUUUGCUUCUUUUGGUCCAUACUUUCUAUAAACAUUACAAACAAAAUAAAAAUAAAAAUUCCAUAAAAGAAUGUUCAAUUUUUGUGAUGAUUGUUAUUAUUUUUAAGCAGACACUGAGAAGACUUGCUCAGAAUAGAGAGGCAGCAAGGAAAAGCAGGCUCAGAAAAAAGGUCAGUCCAUGGAGUUAGUCUCUUCAUCUAUACUUUCCUCCUUUAAUUCAAACAACAGCUUACAUGUUUACAUCUAAUCAUUUUAUUUCAUGGGGGUUCCAUUUUUUUUUUCCCGGUUUUAUAUUUUUCAUAUCACAGGCUUAUGUCCAACAGCUGGAAUCAAGUAGGAUCAAACUUACCCAACUCGAACAAGAACUACAAAGAGCGAGAACUCAAGUGAGAUUCAGUCAUUUUGGCAACUUCAUUCCAAUCAAAUAACAUUUUAUUCUAAAUGAGUACUUUUUUUUUACCUUUUCCUUUUUAGGGCAUGUUUUUUGGGGGGAUUUUAGGAGGGGAGCAAGGGCUUCCAGUGGGCAUCAGCAAUAUUAGCUCAGGUUAAUUACUAUUUUUUUUCCAAAUUUAGUUUAUUUUCAUUUAAAAGCGCAACCCAUUUCUUAUUUUUUGUUUUCUUGUUUCUUUGUUAUGUAGAAGCGGCGGUGUUUGACAUGGAGUAUGCAAGAUGGCUCGAGGUGCAUCACCGUCUAAUGUGUGAGCUUAGAGCUGCAGUACAAGAACAUUUACCCGAAAACGAGCUCCGGCUUUAUGUAGACAACUGCUUAGCACACUAUGAUGAGAUAAUGAACCUCAAAGGCAUGGUGGCCAAGACGGAUGUGUUUCAUCUUGUUUCCGGCUUGUGGAAGUCUCCGGCCGAACGUUGCUUCUUGUGGUUGGGUGGAUUCCGGCCAUCUGAGCUCAUCAAGGUACACAUAUUAGUUCCAAUCAUGCACUUAUUUUGAUAUUUUUUCUUUUAAAUAUAAUACACACAAUAUGCUUUGUCACAUCAACAUCCAAAUUGCAAAUACUAAAUGCAACAAGAAAAUGACAAAAUACAUGGCCAAAUAUUAACCGCACUAAGCCUGAAUUAGGGUUAGCUGGCUAACUAAUUCAUACAUACAUAACUUAAUGAGAUAUAUUAUUGCAUGAUAAGUAGAAAAAUCCCAAAAACAAAAAAUGAUAACAAAUCCUUAUCAUGAGAUACUGCAUGGGGCAAUUUGUCGGUGGAUGAUCAAUUGUAAAACGAAAUGAUCAUGAUAUCAAUAAAUGACGAAAGGUAUAUCAUGAAGGGGUUUCUAAUAAAGGGUAGGGUUAGGUGUUAUUCUAAUAAAGCCAUGUCUGUUACUCCAAUUUUUGUUGAAAGUGAAGGCUGAGAAAGAGAAAGGAGAGAAUUGCAUGCACGGUUCUAUUAUUAUUCUCCUUUUUGAUGCCAGCUAAAGAGAUCUUGUUUCCAUGCAUCUUCAUCUUUUCCUUUGGUUUUUAGCAGAUAAAAGAAUCAUGAGAUCCUUCUGUAAGUAACUUGUAGCACUAAAUAUAUAAAUCAUAAUGACAUAUUGAGGUCUGUGUAAAUAACGUUUGAUUCAGGUUAUAUUGAGCCAAAUAGAGCCAUUAACGGAGCAACAGAUAUUAGGCAUAUGUGGGCUGCAACAAUCUACUCAGGAAGCUGAAGAUGCUCUCUCUCAAGGGCUUGAAGCUCUUAACCAGUCAAUCUUAGACACCAUAGCUUCUGACUCACUCAGCUGCCCUCCUAACAUGGCUAAUUACAUGGGCCAAAUGGCCGUUGCCAUGAACAAGCUCUCCACUCUCGAAGGUUUUGUUAGGCAGGUACGAAUAAUUUGUGAUUGCUAAUCUAUAUAUCUUUUACUGGGCUCCACUUGCAUAAAUGUGGGGUAUGCGGGACCAUAGAAUCUGGUCCCGACCUGCUGGGUUUGGAAAACCUAACCUAACCCAAUUUAUGAAACUACUACAUGUCUCAGUCUUACAAUCAUGUCGUGGCAGCUGGUUGUUGCAUUGCAUAAUUUUUUGCAUUUGCAUGGCAUCUUUAUUAGUUAUUACAUUAUACGAUAUAUAACUUCUGCCAUUCACGAGUUGUUGGCUUAUAGUAAUGUUGAUAGCAACCUCAUAUAAAAUUUUUGCACUUUCUAACAAAACUAUAUGGGCCUUUCUUUGCCCAUCACAGUCGAAAAAUGGAAGACUAACAUCCACGUGCCUCUUCAUGCUUUAAAAAUUUAGUUUCUUUUCUUUAUAUAUCUUCAUAUGCAUUGAAUAUCUUCUCCUAAAAGAAAUUGAACGAUGUUACUUGGUCUGGUCAUCAAUAUGAUGUGUUUUGGUCAUAUUUACACUUAAGUUUUAAUGCAAUUGAAUAAUUGAUCAAUUUUUGGCACACUAAAUAUCUAGAGCUAAUAGAUUGAGCUUAAUUAAGACCAAAUAAUUAAGCUGAUAAUGCUCUAUGAAUAUGAACUCGUGCACAUGGCACUGCAUAAUUGUAUGAUGUCAUGGUCCUACCCAUUUGACUUGAGAUACCAUAUAGUCCAUGAUCCCACCAUAAUUUUCUUUUUAACUGUUCAUGUAGGAUAAGCAUAUAUCCAAAUACUUGAAAACACACAGAGAGAGAUGGGAUCAUUAUUAAGUAAGCACAAUACAAAUGCAAACAAAAAGCAUAGAAAGUGAAUAAGGCUUUAGUCACUUGAAUAUUAAUGUUUAGCUACUUUGGGGUUUAGGGUGGGGGGUCCAAAGAGUGGAAUGCUCGGCUUGACCUAAAGAAAAUUCUAUGUCCCACAUAGAGAAAUUGAUUAGAGUUUGAACAGAUUUGAUAUAGAAACAUUGACAUUGAGGAUUAUAUACCUGGAAUUCAUCAAAUCAAGAUGAAUUGAUCGAAUCAAAGCUUAGCGAAGUCAUUGUCGUCAUCAUUGUUUUUAGUACCAAAGCAACAUUACUAUCAUAUGUUGACCACUUUCAGGCUGACUAAUGGUGCUUAUUAAUCAAUUUUUUUUUUUUGGUUUUGUUAUAUCUAUUUUAUUGAACUAGAUCAUAUAUAUUCUAAGGCGAAUUAGCACAUUUCCUAGUUAGAAUUUAAUUUAAUUUGAUGCUAUAUGCAGUUUUUUUUUUCCCUUUCCUUUUCAAGCCUGCUUCUAGACGAAAGCCACAAUCGUUUACUCAGCAAACUCUUGCAUAUUUUCCUUCACCCAUUUGACAAUUAAAACCUCCUACCCUAAAGUCAUGAACUGAUACAUUUUUGUAAACACAUUGUACCAAAUUUAUGCUUAAUUAGUCUUUCUCUUAAAGUCAAUUAUAUACUAACGCAUUUCUUUUUUCUUCUGAAAAAAAUAAAAUAAAAUAAAAUACAAAAUUGAAACUUACAGGCAGAUAAUCUGAGGCACCAAACCAUCCACCGGCUGAAUCAAAUCCUGACAACUCGUCAAGCGGCGAGGUGUUUGCUGGCGAUAGCCGAGUACUUCCAUCGUCUCCGAGCUCUUAGUUCUCUCUGGAUGGCUCGCCCUCGACAGGAAUGAUGAUAAUAGAAAACAAGACCCUAGUCGUCAUCAUCAUCACUAGUUAGCUAGAAGGUUUAAUUAUAUAAUGCUUUCACUUAAUUAUUAAGUCUCUUAAUUAAUCAUAUAUGAUCAUCAUUGCCAGCAUGUUAUUUUGGAAUCCCUUUCACUUGAUGUAUAGAUUAUAGACAAAUGAUGAGUAGAUUAAAUUUUAAAAGCAGCAUUAAUGUCUACUUAUUCCUUCAAUUCCCUCUCUCUCUCUCUCUCUCUCUCUAUAUAUAUAUAUAUAAGCAAUAAUUGCUUUUGCAUGAAGAGAGAGGCUCAGAGAAGGAAGAAGGAGGAGGAUUGAAUUUUGGCUUGAGUUGGUAUGGACUAUGGAGAGAGUAAGACAAAAGUGCUUUUGGUUGUGUAGAGAGAAAGAAGAAGCCGAGUGUUGAUAUACAAAAGCGCUUCUCGUCUAGGUGUUGGAGUGUGGUAGCUGCAUGCAUGCCUUUUUC